rnacentral:rRNA from 1 species
GAUGAACGCUGGCGGCGUGCCUAAUACAUGCAAGUCGAGCGGACGGACGAGAAGCUUGCUUCUCUGAUGUUAGCGGCGGACGGGUGAGUAACACGUGGAUAACCUACCUAUAAGACUGGGAUAACUUCGGGAAACCGGAGCUAAUACCGGAUAAUAUUUUGAACCGCAUGGUUCAAAAGUGAAAGACGGUCUUGCUGUCACUUAUAGAUGGAUCCGCGCUGCAUUAGCUAGUUGGUAAGGUAACGGCUUACCAAGGCAACGAUGCAUAGCCGACCUGAGAGGGUGAUCGGCCACACUGGAACUGAGACACGGUCCAGACUCCUACGGGAGGCAGCAGUAGGGGAUCUUCCGCAAUGGGCGAAAGCCUGACGGAGCAACGCCGCGUGAGUGAUGAAGGUCUUCGGAUCGUAAAACUCUGUUAUUAGGGAAGAACAUAUGUGUAAGUAACUGUGCACAUCUUGACGGUACCUAAUCAGAAAGCCACGGCUAACUACGUG